rnacentral:rRNA from 1 species
UACGUAGGGUGCGAGCGUUGUCCGGAAUUAUUGGGCGUAAAGAGCUCGUAGGCGGUUUGUCGCGUCUGCUGUGAAAUCCCGAGGCUCAACCUCGGGUCUGCAGUGGGUACGGGCAGACUAGAGUGAUGUAGGGGAGACUGGAAUUCCUGGUGUAGCGGUGAAAUGCGCAGAUAUCAGGAGGAACACCGAUGGCGAAGGCAGGUCUCUGGGCAUUAACUGACGCUGAGGAGCGAAAGCAUGGGGAGCGAACAGG